rnacentral:rRNA from 1 species
ACGCUCGACACCUACGGGAGCAGCAGUGGGGAAUAUUGGGCAAUGGGCGAAAGCCUGACCCAGCAACGCCGCGUGAGGGAAGAAGGUUUUCGGAUUGUAAACCUCUGUCCUCAGGGACGAAGGACGUGACGGUACCUGAGGAGGAAGCCCCGGCUAACUACGUGUCAGCAGCCGCGGUAAUCUGAGCGGGCUGGCAAGGC